rnacentral:rRNA from 1 species
GAUGAACGCUGGCGGCGUGCCUAAUACAUGCAAGUCGAGCGAACAGAUGAGGAGCUUGCUCCUCUGACGUUAGCGGCGGAGGUGUGAGUAACACGUGUAUAACCUACCUGUAAGACGGGUAUAACUUCGGGAAACCGGAGCUAAUCCCGGAUAAUCUAUUGAACCGCGUGGUUCGUUGGUGAGAGUCGGCGUUGCGGGCAGUACUAGCUGCAUCCGGGCCGCAUUGGGUGGUUGUUAAGGUAACGGCUUACCAAGGCUACGAUGCCUAGCCGACCGGAGGGGGUGAUCGGCCACUCUGGAAGUGACACGCGGCACAGGGACCUACGGAAGGCAGAAGUAGGGAAUCUUGCGAAAUGGGCGAAAGCCUGAAGGAGCGGCGGAGCGUGAGUGAAGAAGGUCUGCGGAUCGUAAAACUCUGUUAUGAGGGAAGAACAAAUGUGUAAGUAACUAUGCACGUCUUGACGGAACGUAAUAAGAAAGCCACGGCAAAUUACGU